UUUUAAGUUCAAUAUGGCAUAUUCAAUUUCGAGAUCUCAUGUAUAGUCUUAUGCACCGGGCAUUUUUAAUGAACCUACCUAAAAUAUAGUGGUUUUACUUCCCAAACGGGAAGCAUGUUACUAUAAUAAGUAACAAGUUUCCUGUUCGGGAAGUAGGGAAAAACCCAUAAAUAAUUUCCCGAUCGGGAAGUUUCCCCUACUGAUAUUUCGGAGGAAUCCUUGCAAGAGAAAUAUUCCGCAGUAUGCUCCUCAGGACAAUGGCAAGAGGGAUGCUAGGUGCAGAUGCUUUAGAAGAGAAUGUUGUUGACGGUGUUACCAAUCUUCUGCCGAUGCUCUCAGCGAAUAGGACUUGCAUCGCAGGGAAGGACCGAAGGGAAUGGACUGGCUGGCCUGCUGACUGAGUGAAUGGACUGGCUGGCCUGCUGACCGAGGGAAUGGACUGGCUGGCCUGCUGACCGGCUGGUGGAGGAGAUAAUAAUAGCAGUCUGCUGGCACACUGAUGAUGGCGACAGCGAAUAGGACUUGCAUCCAAGGAAAGGACUUAGGACACUUUCAUCGAAGGAAAGGACUGACUGGUGGAGGAGAUAAUAAUAACAUGAUGCUGACACACUGAUGGGUGCUGAAUUUGCCUGAAAGAUGUCGAACUUACAUGACGACAACAAUCAGAAUAAAAUCCAUCAUAUUGACGAUGUAGAUGCAAACACUCGGGGCAGCAUUUUAUACUGAAGACGCAG
rnacentral:lncRNA from 1 species